rnacentral:rRNA from 1 species
UACAGGGGGGGCAAGCGUUGUUCGGAAUUACUGGGCGUAAAGGGUCUGUAGGUGGCUUGCUAAGUCAGACGUGAAAUCCCUCAGCUUAACUGGGGAACUGCGUCUGAUACUGGCGAGCUUGAGUGCAGGAGAGGAACGCGGAAUUCCAGGUGUAGCGGUGAAAUGCGUAGAUAUCUGGAGGAACACCGGUGGCGAAGGCGGCGUUCUGGACUGCAACUGACACUGAGAGACGAAAGCCAGGGGAGGCAAACGGG